UCUAAAACUUUAAUAAAAUGAAAUAUUCACAGACAAAAAUGUGUGAUAUGGAGAAAUGUAAUUAAUUUUCUCAUCACAUGCUAAAGAAGACAUCACACGAUAGUCAAGAUUCGCAGAUCAGAAAGGGCAACAAGAAUCCAAAUCAACAUAAAUUGCAAGAAAAUAUGGCAAGAUUUGUCCCCAGAAGACAACAAUAUACAUCAACAGAAUCUAGCAACAAAACAAAUGGACAGAACAGGCAUCCUUUACGAACAAAAGUUAGUGAUAUAUGAGAGAUGUGGAAUGAUAUUAGUUAGGUACUUGCUUAGAAGGUAGCUAAGCAUAAUUGCAACCCUCAGAACUUAAUCUAUACUCAAUGUUCACGUGGACAAAUUCAUUGUCAGCUCAGAGUUUGCACAACUAAGUUUACCUCCACCACCGUCAUGUGAGGUUAGAACAUGAGAAGAGAGCUUACCAUGGCUUGCUUUGACAGGGCAUCACCAGCACUGAAGGAGAUUCUGCUUAAGUUAUAUCGAUAAGCUCAAUUCCCCUGUCAAAAGGGUCAAGCGCUGAAAAGCAUGUGGAGAUUGAUUAUCACUUGUAUGAAUUUGGGUCUGUAGAGUACCACAUUCAGUCUCCAGCAGCAGAUCCAAAUCAUAACUACCUGUCGAUAUCAACUCCAAUGCUUUCCCAAGGAGUUCACCAAUCAUAUGGGUUCUCGCGAUACACUACACAGAUGAUAAAGGAAGCUUGCUCUGAUGCUGUGGAAAUUGUUGAACCACCAAGAGAAGGAUACCAGCUCACUCUAAAACUUGAUUUUUCCAAGAUUCCAAAUGAAAAAGACUCUAAAAAGGUGAUUACACAAAUUUCUUCGGUGCCAGCAGUAAUUUUAAGUUCCCAGCUGAAAGAAAUGUUGGAGAAUGUCAAUUCUCAGGAUAUGUCUCAGGGGAUGUAUAAGCCAAAUCAAACUUGUCUACCACCCAAGAGAACCCUUUUAUGUCAUCAAACAGGGCUUGUAAGUGAUGGACUGCAUACAUCUUUGUCUGACAAGAGUUUUUUAAUAGUGCACCAGAGGAUUCACACAGAGAAGGAUGCAAAAGCAUUUGGAAAGCUUGGUUGAGGUCCUGCACAAGGAAAAUCAGGAAGAAGAUGAAAAUGCUAAAAAGGUUAAAGAAAUUGCAGGACGCAAAUAUGUUAGAAAACUGUUAAGGUUCCCAAGAUCUGCAAUGCUUAAACAAAGAUGUGGUGAGUUCACCAAAAAGAUCAAGGGGAUUCGUUUUCGAAUUAAAAUCCAAGGAUUUGGGCAUUUUCGGAGACGAUGGUUGACAAUCCCAAAGUUUUCUUCUCCAAUGAGAUAUACUAAACCAGAUUAAUUUAUAUUCUACAUUUAAUAGUUUGUUUGCAAUUAUGACAUCAUGCCACACAUGGACAUUAAUAUUUUCCAUGACUGUUACUACAAGCCUUUACUUAUAGCAGUACAUGCAAAGUUUGUUGUUCA